GACCAAGGAGUCUAGCAUGUGCGCGAGUCAUUGGGAUAUUGACUAAACCUAAAGGCGCAAUGAAAGUGAAGGUCCGCCUUGCGCGGGCCUAGGGAGGAUGGUCGGUCCCGAGGGACCGACUCGCACUCCCGGGGCGUCUCGUUCUCAUCGCGAGAAGAGGCGCACCCAGAGCGUACACGCUGGGACCCGAAAGAUGGUGAACUAUGCCUGGUCAGGACGAAGUCAGGGGAAACCCUGAUGGAGGUCCGUAGCGAUUCUGACGUGCAAAUCGAUCGUCGGAACUGGGUAUAGGGGCGAAAGACUAAUCGAACCAUCUAGUAGCUGGUUCCCUCCGAAGUUUCCCUCAGGAUAGCUGGCGCUCGCUUCUCGCGAGUCUCAUUCGGUAAAGCGAAUGAUUAGAGGCAUUGGGGUCGAAACGGCCUCAACCUAUUCUCAAACUUUAAAUGGGUGAGAUCUCCGGCUUGCUUGAACUGUGAAGCCGCGAGAUAUCGGAUCAGAGUGCCAAGUGGGCCACUUUUGGUAAGCAGAACUGGCGCUGUGGGAUGAACCAAACGCCGAGUUAAAGCGCCUAAAUCGACGCUUAUGGGAUACCAUGAAAGGCGUUGGUAACUUAAGACAGCAGGACGGUGGCCAUGGAAGUCGG
rnacentral:rRNA from 1 species